GCGCACAUGAUCCGCGACCCGACGGGGUUCUGGGACGCGCAGGCGGCGCGCGCCAAGCGGUCCGGCGCGGGCCUCGCCGCCGACUUCCUGGUGGGGCGGUUCGUGGUGUUCAUCCGCGACUCGGAGCUGUCCCACCGCGUGUUCGCCAACGUCCGCCCCGACGCGUUCCACCUCAUCGGCCACCCCUUCGGCAAGAAGCUGUUCGGCGACCACAACCUCAUCUACAUGUUCGGCGAGGACCACAAGGACCUGCGGCGGCGGAUCGCGCCCAACUUCACCCCGCGCGCGCUGUCCACCUACGCCGCGCUCCAGCAGCGCGUCAUCCUGGCGCACCUCCGGCGGUGGCUCGACCGGAGCGGCGGCGGCGGUGGCGGGGCGUUCCCCAUCCGCGUGCCCUGCCGCGACAUGAACCUGGAGACCUCGCAGACGGUGUUCGUGGGGCCGUACCUCGCCGGGGAGGCCCGGCGGCGGUUCGAGCGGGACUACAACCUCUUCAACGUCGGGCUCAUGGCGCUGCCCAUCGACCUGCCCUGCUUCGCGUUCCGGCGCGCCAGGGAGGGCGUGGCGCGGCUGGUGCGCACGCUGGGCGAGUGCGCGCGGCAGAGCAAGGCGCGGAUGCGCGCCGGCGGCGAGCCCGAGUGCCUGGUGGACUUCUGGAUGCAGGACACGCUGCGGGAGAUGGACGAGGCGGCGGCGGCGGGGCGCCCGCCCCCCGCGCACACCGACGACGAGGAGAUCGGCGGGUUCAUGUUCGACUUCCUGUUCGCGGCGCAGGACGCGUCCACCUCGUCCCUCUGCUGGGCGGUGUCGGCGCUGGACUCCCACCCGGAGGUGCUGGCCCGCGUGCGCGCCGAGGUGUCGGCCGCCUGGUCGCCGGACUCCGGCGAGCCGAUGACGGCGGAGACGAUCCAGGGGAUGCGGUACACGCAGGCGGUGGCGCGCGAGGUGGUCCGGCACCGGCCCCCCGCGACGCUGGUGCCGCACAUCGCGGGCGAGGCGUUCCAGCUGACGGAGUGGUACACGGUGCCCAAGGGCGCCAUCGUGUUCCCGUCCGUGUACGAGUCGUCGUUCCAGGGGUUCCCGGACGCGGAGGCGUUCGACCCGGAGCGCUUCUUCUCGGAGGCGCGGCGGGAGGACGUGGCGUACAGGCGCAACUUCCUGGCAUUCGGCGCCGGGCCGCACCAGUGCGUGGGGCAGCGGUACGCGCUGAACCACCUCGUCCUGUUCAUGGCGCUGUUCGUGUCGGUGGUGGACUUCCGGCGGGAGAGGACGCCCGGGUGCGACGACCCGGUGUACAUGCCCACCAUCGUGCCCAAGGACGGCUGCUCCGUGUACCUCAAGCAGCGAUGCGCCAAGUUGCCGUCGUUCUGAGAAUCCUGAGCUGCCUUCUUGUCCUCUUGCGCUCCUGCCUCUGUCUCUCGGUUCCGCUGCCGCUUCGUGGUUCUUGCCUGCUCCUUCCCACAUUUUUUUUUUCAUUUCGAUUCCUUGGCGGGGGCCAUCUCCCUCCCGUGGUGCUUGGUGUUGUUGGUGGUGUGAUG
rnacentral:misc_RNA from 1 species